GUCUAGGGUAGCCUAGUGGACAUGGCAUCUGCCCGGUAAGCGGAAGACUGUGGGUUCGAUUCCCAUCCCUGGACA
rnacentral:tRNA from 1 species